CCACCAUAGGCACGCCCGAUCUCGUCUAGAUCUCGGAAGCUAAGCAGGGUCGG
rnacentral:rRNA from 10 species